rnacentral:rRNA from 1 species
GAGUUUGAUCCUGGCUCAGAGCGAACGCUGGCGGCGUGCUUAACACAUGCAAGUCGAGUGCGCGCCUGUAGCAAUACAGGUGGCGCACGGCGCACGGGUGCGUAACACGUGGGUAAUCUGCCCUUCGAUGGGGAAUAACUUCGGGAAACCGAAGCUAAUUCCGCAUGACAUUCCUUGAACCUCGGUUUGGGGACUCAAAGCCGUAAGGCGUCGGAGGAGGAACCCGCGCACGAUUAGCUAGUUGGUAGGGUAACGGCCUACCAAGGCUUUGAUCGUUAGCUGGUCUGAGAGGAUGGCCAGCCACACUGGAACUGAGACACGGUCCAGACUCCUACGGAAGGCAGCAGUGGGGAAUCUUGCACAAUGGGCGAAAGCCUGAUGCAGCGACGCCGCGUGGGGGAUGAAGCUUUUCGGAGUGUAAACCCCUUUCGACCCGGACGAAUGCCCCGCAAGGGGACUGACGGUACGGGUAUAAGAAGCCCCGGCUAACUACGUGCCAGCAGCCGCGGUAAGACGUGGGGGGCCAGCGUUGCUCGGAAUUACUGGGUGUAAAGGGUUCGUAGGCGGUGUGGCAAGUCGGGAGUGAAAUCUCUGGGCUUAACUCAGAGACUGCUUCCGAAACUGCUGUGCUUG